rnacentral:rRNA from 1 species
UGAGGAAUAUUGGGCAAUGCCCGAAAGGGUGACCCAGCAACGCCGCGUGGAGGAUGAAGGUCGUAAGAUUGUAAACUCCUGUUAGGGGGGAAGAAUAACUAAGUUUGGAGCUUAGUAUGACUGUACCCUCAGAGAAAGCCCCGGCUAACUACGUGCCAGCAGCCGCGGUAAUACGUAGGGGGCAAGCGUUGUCCGGAUUUACUGGGUGUAAAGGGCGCGCAGGCGGAAUGGAAAGUCACUUGUGAAAUCUCUGAGCUUAACUCAGAACGGCCAAGGGAUACUGCUGUGCUAGAGUGCGGAAGAGGCAACCGGAAUUCUUGGUGUAGCGGUGAAAUGCGUAGAUAGCAAGAGGAACACCUGAGGCGAAGGCGGGUUGCUGGGCCGACACUGACGCUGAUGCGCGAAAGCCAGGGGAGCAAACG